AAUCAACGCUGGCGGCGUGCCUCAGACAUGCAAGUCGAACGAUUAAACUUUCCUUCGGGAAAGAUAUAAAGUGGCGCACGGGUGAGUAACACGUAAGUAAUCUACCUUCGAGUGGGGAAUAACGUUCGGAAACGAACGCUAAUACCGCAUAAUGCAGCGGCACCUAAUGGUGACAGUUGUUAAAGGAGCAAUUCGCUUGAAGAGGAGCUUGCGGCAGAUUAGCUAGUUGGAAGGUAACGGCUUACCAAGGCUACGAUCUGUAACCGGUCUAAGAGGACGGUCGGUCACACUGACACUGAAUAACGGGUCAGACUCCUACGGGAGGCAGCAGUCGGGGAAUUUUGGGCAAUGGGCGAAAGCCUGACCCAGCAACGCCGCGUGAAGGAUGAAGUAUUUCGGUAUGUAAACUUCGAAAGAAUGGGAAGAAUCAAUGACGGUACCAUUUAUAAGGUCCGGCUAACUACGUGCCAGCCG
rnacentral:rRNA from 1 species